rnacentral:rRNA from 1 species
ACUCAAAGGAAUAGACGGGGGCCCGCACAAGCAGCGGAGCGUGUGGUUUAAUUCGAUGCGACGCGAAGAACCUUACCUGGGCUUGACAUGCGCGCGCAGCGCCCGUAACGGGGCGUCCCUUCGGGGCGCGCGCACAGGUGCUGCAUGGCUGUCGUCAGCUCGUGCCGUGAGGUGUUGGGUUAAGUCCCCUAACGAGCGCAACCCCCGGGGUCCGUUGCAACCUUCUCGGGCCCGACUGCCGCGCGCAACGCGGAGGAAGGCGGGGAUGACGUCAAGUCAGCACGGCCCUCACGCCCAGGGCGACACACACGCUACAAUGGCCGGUACAGCGGGUCGCGAGGCCGCGAGGCGGAGCCAAUCCCGAAAAGCCGGCCCCAGUUCGGAUCGCAGGCUGCAACCCGCCUGCGUGAAGCCGGAGUUGCUAGUAACCGCGGGUCAGCACACCGCGGUGAAUACGUUCCCGGGCCUUGCACACACCGCCCGU